rnacentral:rRNA from 1 species
CUUUCUCCGCCGGCGACCGGCGCACGGGUGAGGUAACACGUAUGCAACCUGCCCCUGUCAGGGGGACAACCCGCCGAAAGGCGGGCUAAACCCGCGUACAUGCCACCGGGGCAUCCCGGAGGCAGGAAAGGCUUCGGCCGGACAGGGAUGGGCAUGCGGCGCAUUAGGCAGUAGGCGGGGUAACGGCCCACUUAACCGACGAUGCGUAGGGGUUCUGAGAGGAAGGUCCCCCACACUGGUACUGAGACACGGACCAGACUCCUACGGGAGGCAGCAG